rnacentral:rRNA from 1 species
GACGAACGCUGGCGGCGUGCUUAACACAUGCAAGUCGAACGGAAAGGCCCUGCUUUUGUGGGGUGCUCGAGUGGCGAACGGGUGAGUAACACGUGAGUAACCUGCCCUUGACUUUGGGAUAACUUCAGGAAACUGGGGCUAAUACCGGAUAGGUGCUCCUGCUGCAUGGUGGGGGUUGGAAAGUUUCGGCGGUUGGGGAUGGACUCGCGGCUUAUCCGCUUGUUGGUGGGGUAGUGGCUUACCAAGGCUUUGACGGGUAGCCGGCCUGAGAGGGUGACCGGCCACAAUGGGACUGAGAUACAGCCCAGACUCCUACGGGAGGCAGCAGUGGGGAAUAUUGCACAAUGGGCGGAAGCCUGAUGCAGCAACGCCGCGUGCGGGAUGACGGCCUUCGUGUUGUAAACCGCUUUCGCCUGUGACGAAGCGGGAGUGACGGUAAUGGGUAAAGAAGCACCGGCUAACUACGUG